UACGUAGGUGGCAAGCGUUGUCCGGAUUUAUUGGGUUUAAAGGGUGCGUAGGCGGCUUUGUAAGUCAGUGGUGAAAUAUGGCAGCUCAACUGUCAAGGUGCCAUUGAUACUGCAGAGCUUGAGUACAGAUGAGGUAGGCGGAAUUGACGGUGUAGCGGUGAAAUGCUUAGAUAUCGUCAAGAACACCUAUAGCGAAGGCAGCUUACUAGGCUGUAACUGACGCUGAGGCACGAAAGUGUGGGGAUCAAACAGG
rnacentral:rRNA from 1 species